rnacentral:lncRNA from 1 species
GAUUUAGCAGGAUCAACCAGAUGUUCCUUCUGGUAGAUUCUUCAGCCUGGGUGAGCAGACGAUGAGCAGGAACGAUCUGCCUGUGCAGCGCAAUGACUCUUGGUCCUGUAGCUCCAAAUAGGUUUCUGUCCUUCCUUCCAUGCAGUCCUUCCAACGGUCAGGAAGGAUAUUCUCCUCCCAGAAGUACCCAGGACUGGACACGGAAAAGGUUGGAAAGAACGAAUUCUCUCCGGUGCAUAGUCAGUGUCUUUCUUACGGGCUCAGGGAAAUAUAGGUCCCCAGAUAUGGAGUCAAGAAAUUAAUUUCUUCUUGUUUCAGAUUCUUUGGGACUUUGGAAAGUUGAGGAGAGCAAAUGAAUUUGCCUUUUUAUGUAGCGUGGUUCACCACAUGCCAUGAUCCGGACAUUUUUUAAAUGAUAUGUUCUUUAAAGCACUGGUGGCAUUUUGAUCUCUUGUGUCUUCAGAUAAUGGCAAAUCUGAUUCUGAAUGGACUUUUCUUGGAUCGCUUGGAGGAAAUUCUUUUUAAACAGGAUGUGCCUCUUCCUCAGGGUGACAGGUUAUACACAGAGAUUUUUCAUCAAAAUGAAAACUGCUUCAUUUGCUGCCAACCAUAUGUAAAGCAAGAAGAAAAGUCUGGCCUUAGUGACUCCUGGGAGACUGAUCAAUACAAGUCCCUAGAUCCUACACAGCAAGAAGAUAGAUCCUGGUACCCGAUACUCAAGUUUAUCACAAAAUACUGCCUGAAUUACAAUGAGCUGGUAUACAACAAGGCUAUUUUUCACUACGAAUUAGACAAAGAUCUCACUUUACAGAGUGGCCCAGCCAUCUAAGAGUAAAAAACUUUUCAGAAACAAGGCACUGAGAUGUUUCACUCGCUUCGCUGGGAGCAGGAACUGCCCUGCACCUCAAAAAAAAAAGUAGGGAUGGAUUUGAACCGGAGAUAACAAGUGAUUUAAGUCAAUUCUGUUUGUUUCACACUUACAGCUCUAUCCUCUUAUGAUCUGUACCUAAGAUAAACUGUUCUUCUGUGGGCACGGUACUUAUCUUAAAAGCAUUGCUCAAAACAAGUAAAGGUCAAGUUAAGAGACAACAAAACAUAUCAACUGAUCACAUUAGCAUUUUUAAAAGUCAAAGAGAUGGACAUCUGUGGAGUUAUUUUGGGAGAAACAUCACAUCUGAGGUUAACAGCUAAACACCAGCCUUCGGCCUAACUAUGUUCUCAAUUGUUCAUCGCAUUCUCUGCAGCAGCAAUCACAAUUUAGGAAAAAUAAAAUAAAAGAUCAAAAUACUUAAAGCUUUAGU